UACGUAGGGGGCAAGCGUUGUCCGGAAUUAUUGGGCGUAAAGAGCGUGUAGGCGGCCAGAUAAGUCCGCUGUGAAAUCUCGAGGCUCAACCUCGAGCUGUCGGUGGAAACUGUCUGGCUAGAGUCCGGAAGAGGAGAAUGGAAUUCCUGGUGUAGCGGUGAAAUGCGCAGAUAUCAGGAAGAACACCCGUGGCGAAGGCGGUUCUCUGGGACGGUACUGACGCUGAGACGCGAAAGCGUGGGGAGCGAACAGG
rnacentral:rRNA from 1 species